AGCUCUGUAAGCGUAUACCAAAGUUGUUGCAGUUAAAACGCUCGUAGUCGGAAGUUGGCGGUUCCGGAUGGGUGCGCCUCGUGCGUGCGCAUUGCGGGGACAGCUUUUGUGGGAGAUCGCGUGUGGGAUGAGGCGCAUUAAAUUGUGAACGUCCUAUUACAACGCGAACCACUGUUUACUGUGAGAAAAUCAGAGUGCUCAAAGCAGGCAUUUGCCGUGAAUGUAUUAGCAUGGAAUAAUAGAAUAGGACUCGGUUCUAUUUUGUUGGUUUGUUGUUGGGGCUGAGUAAUGAUUAAGAGGGACAGUUGGGGGCAUUUGUAUUUCGGCGCUAGAGGUGAAAUUCUUAGAUUGCCGAAAGACAAACAGCUGCGAAAGCGUCUGCCAAGGAUGUUUUCA
rnacentral:rRNA from 1 species